GAUGAACGCUGGCGGCGUGCCUAAUACAUGCAAGUCGAGCGAACAGACGAGGAGCUUGCUCCUCUGACGUUAGCGGCGGACGGGUGAGUAACACGUGGAUAACCUACCUAUAAGACUGGGAUAACUUCGGGAAACCGGAGCUAAUACCGGAUAAUAUAUUGAACCGCAUGGUUCAAUAGUGAAAGACGGUUUUGCUGACACUUAUAGAUGGAUCCGCGCCGCAUUAGCUAGUUGGUAAGGUAACGGCUUACCAAGGCGACGAUGCGUAGCCGACCUGAGAGGGUGAUCGGCCACACUGGAACUGAGACAUGGUCCAGACUCCUACGGGAGGCAGCAGUAGGGAAUCUUCCGCAAUGGGCGAAAGCCUGACGGAGCAACGCCGCGUGAGUGAUGAAGGUCUUCGGAUCGUAAAACUCUGUUAUUAGGGAAGAACAAAUGUGUAAGUAACUAUGCACGUCUUGACGGUACCUAAUCAGAAAGCCACGGCUAACUACGUG
rnacentral:rRNA from 1 species